rnacentral:rRNA from 1 species
UACGUAGGUGGCAAGCGCUGUCCGGAUUUACUGGGCGUAAAGGGCGUGCAGGCGGUCUGUUAAGUCUAGGGUGAAAGCUCCCGGCUCAACUGGGAGAGGUCCUUGGAUACUGGCGGACUUGAGGGAGGUAGAGGAAAGUGGAAUUCCCGGUGUAGUGGUGAUAUGCGUAGAUAUCGGGAGGAACACCAGUGGCGAAGGCGGCUUUCUGGGCCUUACCUGACGCUGAGACGCGAAAGCGUGGGGAGCGAACCGG